UACGUAGGGUGCAAGCGUUAAUCGGAAUUACUGGGCGUAAAGCGUGCGCAGGCGGUGAUGUAAGACAGGUGUGAAAUCCCCGGGCUUAACCUGGGAACUGCCUUUGAUACUGCAAAUCUCGAGUCCGGAAGAGGUGAGUGGAAUUCCUAGUGUAGAGGUGAAAUUCGUAGAGAUCCGGAAGAACACCGGUGGCGAAGGCGGUCUGCUGGGGUGAGGCUGACGCUGAUGCGCGACAGCGUGGGGAGCAAACAGG
rnacentral:rRNA from 1 species